rnacentral:rRNA from 1 species
UACGAAGGGGGCUAGCGUUGCUCGGAAUGACUGGGCGUAAAGGGCGCGUAGGCGGAUGGUACAGUCAGAUGUGAAAUUCCUGGGCUCAACCUGGGGGCUGCAUUUGAUACGUGUUGUCUAGAGUGAGGAAGAGGGUCGUGGAAUUCCCAGUGUAGAGGUGAAAUUCGUAGAUAUUGGGAAGAACACCGGUGGCGAAGGCGGCGACCUGGUCCUUUACUGACGCUGAGGCGCGAAAGCGUGGGGAGCAAACAGG